rnacentral:lncRNA from 1 species
CUUUGUGCUGCGCGGGGUGCUCACUCAAUCUUGGCUACGUGUACAGAUGCACGCCCAAGAAUCUUGAUUACAAGAGAGACUUGUUUUGCCUCAGUGUUGAAGCCAUUGAAAGUUAUGUUUUAGGGUCCUCUGAAAAGCAAAUUGUGUCAGAAGAUAAAGAGCUUUUUAAUCUUGAAAGCAGAGUUGAAAUAGAAAAGUCUCUAACACAGAUGGAAGAUGUCUUGAAAGCAUUACAAAUGAAGCUGUGGGAGGCCGAAUCCAAAUUGUCCUUUGCCACUUGUAAAAGCUGAACUCUAGUCUGUGUCCUCCAUUCUGCCCCCGCCCUUCCUCCCCUUAUUUGUUAAAUGAAGCAACAUAGUGAGACGUCGUCUCUACAAAAAAAAAAAGAAAAAAAAAAUUAGCCAGGCAUGCGAAACGCUGAGGUGGGAGGAUCAGAUGAGCUUGGGAGGUUGAGGCUGCAGUGAGCCUUGGUCAUGCCACUACUGUGUUCUAGUCUGGGCAACAGAGUGAGACCUUCUCUCAAAAAAAAAACCCAAAAUUGUAGAAUUACUUCUAUAGCUAUAUUUUAUGAUAAAGAAGUGAUUGUUUCUCAAAAUCGCAUUUUAAAGACGUUUUAUGGUACUUGUUGGAAUUGGGACUUAGGAGUUUUGAUUUUGAUAAGAAACUGGGAUAAUUUUCUGAACUUUUUUUCCUCUGUAUCACAUUUAUUUACUAUUUUUAAAAACUUUGACAUUUAACACUUGGGACAACAUUUAUUAUAAAUGAUAAGAAAAAUCUUAGAGGUUUGUCUACCCACAGUGUCAUGGAAUCUUCUCUGAAAACUAAUCCAUAAAGUUCCCUGGAGAAAUUGGUCAGAAUGAUCUGUCAGAACCAUUUGAAAACUUGCUCAAGAGCAGUUGCUUAUAUAUAGUAGGAUUUUACUUUUUCCUGCUUAUGUACUACUAUAUGCUUAAAAAACCUGGAGGAAUACUUACCAAAGAGGAGUAACCAUCUCUGAGGGUGGGAUUCUGGGGGAAUUUUUGUUUUUUUCUGUUUUCUAUAAUGUGAAACUUUUGUAGUAUGUAUUUUUCUAAUUG